rnacentral:lncRNA from 1 species
GGGGGAAGCUGAACGAGUUUUACAACAGAAACUAUUCUUCUUGCCAAAAGAAACGUUGGGGGAAGCACAAGAACGUUUAGUGCAGGAACAACACUCUUGCAUAUUAAAGUCUUUAGGCAUUAUUAGGGAUAAUACUAAAGUUAACCCUGAAGAAGAAUAUCAAGCCACUAUCUCUAAAANUGAUAAGGUUGUCAAGGAGGAAAAGAUAGAGGAAGAAGAGAUAGAGAGAGAUUUAAAAGAAGAAGAAACAGAGGAGUUGGUUGAGGAAGAUAAAGAUGAUGAGGGAGAAAAAACAGUGG